rnacentral:lncRNA from 1 species
UCUGGUGGCUAGCAUUUAGAGUGCCGUAGGGGAAGCUCUUUGGUUCGAGUCACCAAGGCCUGAUUUUUGUUCCUCGUCAAGCAGUUGAGGUAUAUUUGGAUUUUAGAAAAAAUAAAAUCGCUAAACGGGCCAGCCCGUCGGGCUCGGGCACGGCACAAGAUGUUAUUCCGGCCUGCCUAGCCCGGUUAAUUAUGUGCCGGGCCAAGCCCACCAGGCUUUCGGGCUUUUCCGAAAAGCCCGGCCCGAUAGCCACCUAUAGCCUUGUCCUUUUUUCCUUGGCCGUUUUCGUUUUCCCCACCCCUCGGCUUUUGUCUGUUUUUCUUCUGAAACUACUAAUUGAGCACGUGCAAUUUCUUGAUUCAAAUUUGUCCAAAUAUGAAUUUAUCUAUUAUUAAAAAACGUCUAGAUACAUGUAAUAUUUGGACAACAAUUUAGGAUCGGAGGGAGUAAUACAUAAAAACAUUAAAUAAAAAAAUGUUGAAGUGCUUGAAAGCGUCAUAAAAUUCAAAUCAUCAGGCACUCAAUUAGCUCUCCUCCCCACAGGGCCUUCUCUUCGGUCUUCACCCCCACCAGCCACCAGCACCUGGCAAAGGGGCAAUUUGCUUAUUGGUAUGUAACUGUGUCGACAAUGCAUAGUGCCAAACAAACAUGUACUUACAGUUCUAAGCACCACGUUCUCCAUGCAGAUACUAAAUCCUCUUGAAGUUUUCGGGCAUCUUCAGACUUCAAAGAUAUCAGAUGUGCUCGAAUCUGUUAAACGACAGAACAUAUCAUCAAAUGGUAAAAACAUCCCCCCUUCAUAUCAAUGAAUUGACGUUCAUAGGUACGGACAAAGAAACAUGCAAGAAGUGAUGAACUUCAAAUUAAAACUUCAGUUUUCACAAACCUUGUUGCGACAGUGAAAGACUGUUUAGUUCUUGAAAGAGACAACUCUGACAAU